rnacentral:rRNA from 1 species
UACGUAGGGGGCAAGCGUUGUCCGGAAUCAUUGGGCGUAAAGAGCGUGUAGGCGGUCCGGUAAGUCGGCUGUGAAAGUCCAGGGCUCAACCCUGGGAUGCCGGUCGAUACUGCCGGACUAGAGUUCGGAAGAGGCGAGUGGAAUUCCCGGUGUGAGCGGUGAAAUGCGCAGAUAUCGGGAGGAACACCUAUGGCGAAGGCAGCUCGCUGGGACGUUACUGACGCUGAGACGCGAAAGCGUGGGGAGCAAACAGG